UAACUCAACGAUCAGAGUAUCCGGCUUAUAUCCGGCUAGUUCGGGGUUCGAAUCCCUGA
rnacentral:tRNA from 1 species